UCACUCUGUUGAUAAGCACCAGCAUUGGCAGUUUCCUCCAGAACGGUUUUCCUUAGUGCUGGGUAAACCAACCUUGGAUGUCUGAGUGA
ensembl:snoRNA SNORD14 Small nucleolar RNA SNORD14